UACGAAGGGUGCAAGCGUUACUCGGAAUUACUGGGCGUAAAGCGUGCGUAGGUGGUGAGUUAAGUCUGUCGUGAAAGCCCCGGGCUCAACCUGGGAAUUGGCGAUGGAUACUGGCUCGCUAGAGUGCGGUAGAGGAGAGUGGAAUUCCUGGUGUAGCGGUAGAAAUGCGUAGAUAUCAGGAGGAACACCGUGGUGUAGACGGCUCUCGUGGACCGUAACUGACGCUGAGGCACGAAAGCGUGGGUAGCAAACAGG
rnacentral:rRNA from 1 species